rnacentral:rRNA from 1 species
UUGGAGGGCAAGCCUGGUGCCAGCAGCCGCGGUAAUUCCAGCUCCAAUAGCGUAUAUUAAAGUUGUUGCAGUUAAAAAGCUCGUAGUUGAAUUUCGGGAUCAAUAUGUUGGUCGUGCCUUGGUACGUACUAGUUUAUUGGUUUCUUCCUUCUGACGAACCAUGAUGUCAUUAAUUUGGUGUCUUGGGGAAUCAGGACUGUUACUUUGAAAAAAUUAGAGUGUUUAAAGCAGGCUAACGCUUGAAUACAUUAGCAUGGAAUAAUGAAAUAGGACGUUCGACCCUAUUUUGUUGGUUUCUAGGAUCGACGUAAUGAUUAAUAGGGAUAGUUGGGGGCAUUAGUAUUCAAUUGUCAGAGGUGAAAUUCUUGGAUUUAUUGAAGACUAACUACUGCGAAAGCAUUUGCCAAGGAUGUUUUCAUCAAUCAAGAACGAAAGUUAGGGGAUCGAAGACGAUCAGAUACCGUCGUAGUCUUAACCAUAAACUAUGCCGACUAGGGAUCGGAUGAUGUUAAUUUUUUAAUGACUCAUUCGGCGCCUUACGGGAAAC